rnacentral:rRNA from 1 species
CCUACGGGUGGCAGCAGUGAGGAAUAUUGGUCAAUGGGCGCGAGUCUGAACCAGCCAAGUCGCGUGAGGGAAGACGGCCCUACGGGUUGUAAACCUCUUUUGCCGGGGAGCAACGGGCGCCACGUGUGGCGCCACUGAGAGUACCCGGAGAAAAAGCAUCGGCUAACUCCGUGCCAGCAGCCGCGGUAAUACGGGGGAUGCGAGCGUUAUCCGGAUUUAUUGGGUUUAAAGGGUGCGUAGGCGGAGCGUUAAGUCAGUGGUAAAAUUGAGGGGCUAAACCCCUUCCCGCCAUUGAAACUGGCGCUCUUGAGUGGAGAUGAAGUAUGCGGAAUGCGUGGUGUAGCGGUGAAAUGCUUAGAGAUCACGCAGAACCCCGAUGGCGAAGGCAGCAUGCCGGCUUCCUACUGACGCUGAAGCACGAAAGCGUGGGGAUCGAACAGGAUUAGAUACCCUUGUAGUC